AAAAAUUUAUGUCCAGCCAUCAUAACUACCAUUUAUUUACUUGUAACCAUCACCACAUCGCAUUUAAUUCUUUUUCUUCUUCUUUUUCUUCUUCUCCAUACACCACCAUUAUGGAGAAGAUGAAAAUUCUUUAAAUGUAAUGUCGAAAAUGGUGGUUCAGUUUGGGUGUUGGAGAAGAGAGAAGAAAAUAAUGAUGAAGAUGCAACAAAGAAAGAAAGAAAAGUAUAAAAAAGUCAAAAAAUCAAAAAUCAAAAAGAAAAACGUAAAAAUUUUUUAGAAACACACCUCUUUUUUGUUUAUUUUUAUUUUUGUGCCAUGUCAGAUUUUUGGCAGAAAAUAAAUUUACUUUUAAAUAGUACAAGUGUGUAUUAGGUCACUUUAAUAGUUGCCUCCUGGACUUUUCGAAUAUAGUUUAAGAUUGUUUUGAUGCCUUUUUCCUUAUUUUUUACAUCUUUAGUACAUAGAUCUUAGACCCUUGGUAAUGUCCAUGACAUAUCUGUAUUGAAGGAAACACAUUUAUCCAGUUAAAUUUGUAAACGUAAUUCAAGAACACAUCCAUGUUAUGUCAAAGUCUAUCCAUUUUACUUUAUUUCCAAUAGCGCCGGCCUAGACAUGUGCAAUUGCAGUGCAAGGAAAUGAACCUUCUUUCCCUCUUAUAAAUGUUCAUCCACUUGAAAAAGUACUAUACUUUCUUAUGGCCACCAAUUUCAUUUCCAAGUCAAAAAUGACCAGAAAUCGUUUUAUUACUAUCUAGGAUUUUGUAACAAUCUAUUAUAAGAAAAAAAGCACAAAGCAAAGAUAUCAAAAAAAGAAUUUGACAAUAUAAGAUUGUGCAGAUGAUAAACAUCCUCUACUUUCAAUCUUAAGGUUGUGAAUCCUAAUUAUCAUAAAAGAAAUAAAAAGGUGAGAGUUCUCAGGAUGAAGUAAGAAGAAAAAAAUACCAAAAGAAGAAUUUCCCUUUUCUGUUCUUAAAAGAUUAAUUAGGUAAUAGGUAGUGUUGUUUAUCGUCGAUUUGGGAUAGUUAAAUUUAUUUGUAGGUUAAGAUUACGUGUUACGGUCUUAAUUUUAAUUAUUAGUGAACAUUUUCUAAGAAGUGAAUAAUGUAAAAGAAAGAAAAAAUAUAUUAAUAAAACAACUUUUGUAACAAAUUUGAGUGAUAACGUAGACCAUCGUUGUAACAAUCAUUGUAGUAAUUUUUAGUUUUUACUGUGUUUUAAUCAUUUUACCUUAUCCAUAGUUACUAUAUGCUAUUUAUGAGUUUUAGGGUUGGUUGGUACGGUCCCCGAAGCAUUGGAGAGUGAUAUGAGGGAGUUUGAGGUUUUGAGUAGCCUUAGAAGUGAUUAGUUUAACUUUGGACAAUAUUUUGUGAUCGAAGUGUCAGAUGGUGAUUAUGUUAGUUUCAUGAGAUUUGGAAUAUCGAUUUUGAGCUAGUAGCUUGAGAUCUACCCCUUUUUUAAUUAUUUGUCCUCUAUUCUAUUUUUUAAAUUAUUUUUUGUUUGGCCCAUGGGCCAGCCCAGUCCAACCCACAUUACUCAAGCCCCACGGGCCAACGGGCUUAUAUGGGCCGGGCUAAAAAACUCUGUUCUUCAAUGGGCUGUAAAAAUUUUAGCCCAACCAUAUUAAAUUACAGGCUGGAUCAAGCCGACCCAACGGACCAUCCAUAUUGACGGCUCUAGAAGUUAUAAUUGUUAUAUCUUUUCUCUUUUCUUUUAUUUACUUAUUAACCUUUUUUGUUAAUCAUAUUUCACACUAAUUAAUCUCUAAUUAAUUACUAAGAACUCCAUUAAAUACACCUUCUUCAUCGCUAACCCAUCCACUCCAAUCUCAUCUUAUCAAAAAAUUUAUGUCCAGCCAUCAUAACUACCAUUUAUUUACUUGUAACCAUCACCACAUCGCAUUUAAUUCUUUUUCUUCUUCUUUUUCUUCUUCUCCAUACACCACCAUUAUGGAGAAGAUGAAAAUUCUUUAAAUGUAAUGUCGAAAAUGGUGGUUCAGUUUGGGUGUUGGAGAAGAGAGAAGAAAAUAAUGAUGAAGAUGCAACAAAGAAAGAAAGAAAAGUAUAAAAAAGUCAAAAAAUCAAAAAUCAAAAAGAAAAACGUAAAAAUUUUUUAGAAACACACCUCUUUUUUGUUUAUUUUUAUUUUUGUGCCAUGUCAGAUUUUUGGCAGAAAAUAAAUUUACUUUUAAAUAGUACAAGUGUGUAUUAGGUCACUUUAAUAGUUGCCUCCUGGACUUUUCGAAUAUAGUUUAAGAUUGUUUUGAUGCCUUUUUCCUUAUUUUUUACAUCUUUAGUACAUAGAUCUUAGACCCUUGGUAAUGUCCAUGACAUAUCUGUAUUGAAGGAAACACAUUUAUCCAGUUAAAUUUGUAAACGUAAUUCAAGAACACAUCCAUGUUAUGUCAAAGUCUAUCCAUUUUACUUUAUUUCCAAUAGCGCCGGCCUAGACAUGUGCAAUUGCAGUGCAAGGAAAUGAACCUUCUUUCCCUCUUAUAAAUGUUCAUCCACUUGAAAAAGUACUAUACUUUCUU
rnacentral:lncRNA from 1 species